AGUGAACGCUGGCGGUAGGCCUAACACAUGCAAGUCGAACGGCAGCACAGUAAGAGCUUGCUCUUACGGGUGGCGAGUGGCGGACGGGUGAGGAAUACAUCGGAAUCUACUUUUUCGUGGGGGAUAACGUAGGGAAACUUACGCUAAUACCGCAUACGACCUACGGGUGAAAGCAGGGGAUCUUCGGACCUUGCGCGAUUGAAUGAGCCGAUGUCGGAUUAGCUAGUUGGCGGGGUAAAGGCCCACCAAGGCGACGAUCCGUAGCUGGUCUGAGAGGAUGAUCAGCCACACGGGAACUGAGACACGGUCCAGACUACUAAGGGAGGCAGCAGUGGGGAAUAUUGGACAAUGGGCGCAAGCCUGAUCCAGCCAUACCGCGUGGGAGAAGAAGGCCUUCGGGUUGUAAAGCACUUUUGUUGGGAAAGAAAAGCAGAAGGUUAAUACCCCGCUGUUCUGACGGUACCAAAAGAAUAAGCACCGGCUAACUUCGUG
rnacentral:rRNA from 1 species